rnacentral:rRNA from 1 species
AGGACGAACGCUGGCGGCGUGCUUAACACAUGCAAGUCGAACGGUGAAAGAGGAGCUUGCUCCUCUGGAACAGUGGCGAACGGGUGAGUAACACGUGAGCAAUCUGCCCCGAACUCUGGGAUAAGCGUUGGAAACGACGUCUAAUACCGGAUACGACGCGCGAAGGCAUCUUCUGCGCGUGGAAAGAAUUUCGGUUCGGGAUGAGCUCGCGGCCUAUCAGUUAGUUGGCGGGGUAAUGGCCCACCAAGACGAUGAUCUGUA